UGUCCUGACUUCCUCCAAGG
rnacentral:misc_RNA from 1 species